UACGUAGGGAGCAAGCGUUGUCCGGAAUCAUUGGGCGUAAAGCGCGCGUAGGCGGCCUCGUAAGUCCGUUGUGAAAGUCAAAGGCUCAACCUUUGAAAGCCGAUGGAUACUGUGAGGCUAGAGUCCGGAAGAGGCGAGUGGAAUUCCUGGUGUAGCGGUGGAAUGCGCAGAUAUCAGGAGGAACACCAAUAGCGAAGGCAGCUCGCUGGCCCGAUACUGACGCUGAGGUGCGAAAGCGUGGGGAGCAAACAGG
rnacentral:rRNA from 1 species